CAGUAACCGCGGUAAAACGAAGGGGGCUAGCGUUGCUCGGAAUCACUGGGCGUAAAGGGUGCGUAGGCGGGUCUUUAAGUCAGGGGUGAAAUCCUGGAGCUCAACUCCAGAACUGCCUUUGAUACUGAAGAUCUUGAGUUCGGGAGAGGUGAGUGGAACUGCGAGUGUAGAGGUGAAAUUCGUAGAUAUUCGCAAGAACACCAGUGGCGAAGGCGGCUCACUGGCCCGAUACUGACGCUGAGGCACGAAAGCGUGGGGAGCAAACAGGAUUAGAUACCCGUGUAGUCCCUGUCUCUUAUAC
rnacentral:rRNA from 1 species